rnacentral:rRNA from 1 species
UACGAAGGGGGCUAGCGUUGUUCGGAUUUACUGGGCGUAAAGCGCACGUAGGCGGAUUGUUAAGUGAGGGGUGAAAUCCCAGGGCUCAACCCUGGAACUGCCUUUCAUACUGGCAAUCUUGAGUCCGGAAGAGGUGAGUGGAACUCCUAGUGUAGAGGUGGAAUUCGUAGAUAUUAGGAAGAACACCGGUGGCGAAGGCGGCCCACUGGAUCGGUACUGACGCUGAGGUGCGAAAGCGUGGGGAGCAAACAGG